GUCGACGCUUAUGGGAUACCAUGAAAGGCGUUGGUUGCUUAAGACAGCAGGACGGUGGCCAUGGAAGUCGGAAUCCGCUAAGGAGUGUGUAACAACUCACCUGCCGAAGCAACUAGCCCUGAAAAUGGAUGGCGCUGAAGCGUCGUGCUUAUACUCUGCCGCCAGGGCAAGAGAGGUUCGCCCUAGUGCGGCCAUGAAGCCCUGGUGAGUAGGAGGGUCGCGAUGGUGUGCGCAGAAGGGUCUGGGCGUGAGCCUGCCUGGAGCCGCCAUCGGUGCAGAUCUUGGUGGUAGUAGCAAAUACUCCAGAGAGGUCCUGGAGGGCUGAUGUGGUAGAAGGGUUUCGUGUGAACAGCCGUUGCACACGAGUCAGUCGAUCCUAAGCCCUAGGAGGAAUCCUAUGUUGAUGACGGUGUAUUAUUCUAAAGUAUUUAACUAAAGUGCACACCCGUCGGGCGAAAGGGAAUCCGGUUCCUAUUCCGGAACCCGGCAGCGGAACCGCAUACAAUUCGGGCCCUCGAAAGAGUGUUCGUCGGGGUAACCCA
rnacentral:rRNA from 1 species